UUUUCAUAUGCUCAUUACAAGCCCCCUUGUGAUUGUUCCUCUGCUCAUAACAAUAGCCAUGAAAACAUUCCCACUAACCCUGGUAAUUCAUUCCCUGCUCAUAACAACAGCCACGAAAAUAUUCCAACCAAGCCUGGAAAUUCUUUCCCUGCUCAAAACAACAGCCAUGAAAAUAUUCCAACCAAGCCUGGAAAUUCUUUCCCUGCUCAAAACAACAGCCAUGAAAAUAUUCCAACCAAGCCUGGAAAUUCUUUCCCUGCUCAAAACAACAGCCAUGAAAAUAUUCCAACCAAGCCUGGAAAUUCUUUCCCUGCUCAAAACAACAGCCAUGAAAUUCCC
rnacentral:lncRNA from 1 species